AACUCCCACCAUCGCCACCUCCUCUGACCUUCGGUGACCAAGUCACGGCCGUCGCCUUCGGCCCAGGGCUCCUGCCUCCUCUCUUUUCCCGAACAAGCUUCCUCUCUCAAACGUUGUGAUCGCCGCCGCCUAUUGAAUGGCGGCACCACCCAGAUCCCCAAAUCGCAGCCGCCGCUGCCCUCUCUCUCUCUCAAUCUUCUCCAUCGCUCAAAUCUCCCUCAAAUAAUAUCACAGAUUCGAUCAACACCACAUCUCCUCCUUCGCCUAUCCGGCGAAGGGCGUCCCCCAGGCUACGCCUGAAAAACCCCAGGCACCAACCACCGACGACCCUCCUCAGAACUUGAAUCACGCCGGCAAAACAGCAGGGAUGUCGUUCUCUGCUCGACGGAAGAGAUGAGACGGGAGAAAGAGAAUCAGACGAACCCAA
rnacentral:lncRNA from 1 species